rnacentral:rRNA from 1 species
UACAGAGGUGGCAAGCGUUGUUCGGAAUUACUGGGCGUAAAGGGCGCGUAGGCGGCCUUCUAAGUCAGACGUGAAAUCCCCAGGCUUAACUUGGGAACUGCGUCUGAUACUGGGAGGCUUGAAUGCGGGAGAGGGAUGUGGAAUUCCAGGUGUAGCGGUGAAAUGCGUAGAUAUCUGGAGGAACACCGGUGGCGAAGGCGGCAUCCUGGACCGACACUGACGCUGAGGCGCGAAAGCGUGGGGAGCAACAGG